GAUCAUGGCUCAGGAUGAACGCUAGCUACAGGCUUAACACAUGCAAGUCGAGGGGAAACGACAUUGAAGCUUGCUUCGAUGGGCGCCGACCGGCGCACGGGUGAGUAACGCGUAUCCAACCUGCCUCUGACUAAGGGAUAACCCGGCGAAAGUCGGACUAAUACCUUAUGAGGUUUUCUGCAGACAUCUAACGAAAACGAAAGAUUUAUCGGUCAGUGAUGGGGAUGCGUCUGAUUAG
rnacentral:rRNA from 1 species